rnacentral:rRNA from 1 species
GAUGAACGCUGGCGGCGUGCCUAAUACAUGCAAGUCGAGCGAACAGACGAGGCGCUUGCUCCUCUGACGUUAGCGGCGGACGGGUGAGUAACACGUGGAUAACCUACCUAUAAGACUGGGAUAAUUUCGGGAAACCGGAGCUAAUACCGGAUAAUAUAUUGAACCGCAUUGUUCAUUAGUGAAAGACGGUUUUGCUGUCACUUAUAGAUGGAUCUGCGCCGCAUUAGCUAGUUGGUAAGGUAACGGCUUACCAAGGCAACGAUGCGUAGCCGACGUGAGAGGGUGGUCGGCUCCAUUGUAACUGAGACACGGACCAGACGCCUACGAGAUGGAGCAGUAGGGAAUCGUGCGCAAUGGGCGAGAGCCUGACGGAGCAACCCCGCGUGAGUGAUGAAGGUCUUCGGAGCGUGAAACUCUGUUAUUGGGGAAGAACAGAUGUGUAAGUAACUAUGCACGUCUUGACGGUACCUAGUCAGAAAGCCACGGCUAACUACGUG